UACGAAGGGGGCUAGCGUUGCUCGGAAUCACUGGGCGUAAAGCGCACGUAGGCGGAUUGCUAAGUCAGGGGUGAAAUCCUGGAGCUCAACUCCAGAACUGCCUUUGAUACUGGCGAUCUCGAGUCCGGGAGAGGUGAGUGGAACUGCGAGUGUAGAGGUGAAAUUCGUAGAUAUCAAGCGGAACACCGGUGGCGAAGGCGGCCUUCUGGACAGUGACUGACGCUGAGACGCGAAAGCGUGGGGAGCAAACAGG
rnacentral:rRNA from 1 species